rnacentral:lncRNA from 1 species
CGAAAGCAAAUAGUGCAAAAUCUCCACUUGGCAGAUUCUGCUCUCGGGGACCGGUCCCUGGCAAGGAAGGACCGGUCCCCGUAGCUGGUGGUUGCGGGGAUGCUUGAUGCAACCGGUCCCCAGGGCUGAAGGACCGGUCCCCGUAGGUGAAAUCAGCGAGCAGAGAAAAAUUUGGCUAAGUCCUGAGAAUCCCACUUUCGGGAACCGGUCUCUUAGGCAAGGACCGGUCUCCCAGGGACCGGUCUCUCGGGCAGGGAC